rnacentral:rRNA from 1 species
AGUGAACGCUGGCGGUAGGCCUAACACAUGCAAGUCGAACGGCAGCACAGGAGAGCUUGCUCUCUGGGUGGCGAGUGGCGGACGGGUGAGGAAUACAUCGGAAUCUACUUUUUCGUGGGGGAUAACGUAGGGAAACUUACGCUAAUACCGCAUACGACCUACGGGUGAAAGCAGGGGACCUUCGGGCCUUGCGCGAUUGAAUUAGCCGAUGUCGGAUUAGCUAGUUGGCGGGGCAAAGGCCCACCAAGGCGACGAUCCGUAGCUGGUCUGAGAGGAUGAUCAGCCACACUGGAACUGAGACACGGUCCAGACUCCUACGGGAGGCAGCAGUGGGGAAUAUUGGACAAUGGGCGCAAGCCUGAUCCAGCCAUACCGCGUGGGUGAAGAAGGCCUUCGGGUUGUAAAGCCCUUUUGUUGGGAAAGAAAUCCAGCUGGCUAAUACCCGGUUGGGAUGACGGUACCCAAAGAAUAAGCACCGGCUAACUUCGUGCCAGCCGCCGCAGUAA